rnacentral:rRNA from 1 species
GACGAACGCUGGCGGCGUGCUUAACACAUGCAAGUCGAACGGAAAGGCCCUGCUUUUGUGGGGUGCUCGAGUGGCGAACGGGUGAGUAACACGUGAGUAACCUGCCCCUGACUUAGGGGUAACUUCAGGAAACUGGGGCUAAUACUGGAUAGGAGCUCCUGCUGCAUGGUGGGGGUUGGAAAGAUUCGGCGGUUGGGGAUGUACUCGCGGCUUAUCAGCUUGAUGGUGGGGUAGUGGCUUACCAAGGCUUUGCCGGGUAGCCGGCCUGAGAGGGUGACCGGCCACAUUGGGACUGAGAUACGGCCCAGACUCCAACGGGAGGCAGCAGUGGGGAAUAUUGCACAAUGGGCGGAAGCCUGAUACAGCGACGCCGCGUGCGGGAUGACGGCCUUCGGGUUGUGAACCGCUUUCGCCUGUGACGAAGCGUGAGUGACGGUAAUGGGUAAAGAAGCACCGGCUAACUACGUG